UUUACUAUAAACUUUUCAAUGAAUGCAGGUAAUGUAUUUGUGUGACUACAUUCUUGGGGGUGACCUUAAUGGGUCUAGCUCAACCAAAGAGGAGUUUCUAAAGUUUCAAGGAGGUUUGAUCCAGAUAGGGACUUGGUAAGGGUUGGCAUUGCAAAUCAGACAACAAUGCUCAAGGGAGAAACUGAAGAGAUUGGUAAAUAAGUAGAAAGGACUAUGAUGUGCAAGCAUGGAGUGGAAAAUGUUAAUGAGCACUUCAAAAGCUUCAAUAACAUUUGUGA